rnacentral:lncRNA from 1 species
AUUCAAAUAUUUCUCAUAGAUAAACUUGAUCAUAAACACACAAUUCAUCGGAUCUCGACAAACACACUGCAAAAAGAGUUACAUAGAAUAGAUCUCCAAGAAGAUCAAGGAGAACAUGGUAUUGGGAUCCAAAGAGAGAGAAAAGGCCAUCUAGCUGAUAACUAUGGACCCGAAGGUCUGUGGCAAACUACUCACAACUCAUCGGAGAGGCCUUGGACAUGAUGUAGAGGCCCUCCGUAGUCGAUUCCCCCUCCGGUGGAGCACCGGCGAAGCCUCCAAGAUGGGAUCUCGCGGAUACAGAAGGUUGCGGCGGUGGAAUUAGGUUUUCGUUGGCUCCCGUGAUGUUCUCGGGGUACGUGGGUAUAUAUAGGAGGAAGAAGUAGGUCAGUGGACUCUCGACGGGCCCACGAGAUAGGGGGCGCGCCCAGUAGGGGGGGCACCCUCCACCCUCGUGGCCACCUUGAUUGUUGCAUGACUUCCACUUAAGUCCUCUAGAUCAUGUUUGUUCCAAAAAUCACGCUCCCGAAGGUUUCAUUCCGUUUGGACUCCGUUUGAUAUUCCUUUUCUUCGAAACACUGAAAUAGGCAAAAAAACAGCAUUACGGGCUGGGCCUCCGGUUAGUAGGUUAGUCCCAAAAAUGAUAUAAAUGUGUAAAGUAAAGCCCAUAAACAUCCAAAAUGGGUAAUAUAAUAGCAUGGAACAAUAAAAAAUUAUAAAUAUGUUGGAGACGUAUCAGCAUACAUGAUAGAACCUAUGGUUGAGGCAUAGGGAAUGACUUUCAUUUUCUCUCUAUCUUCUACAGUGGUCCGGCAUUGAGUCUGACUCAACUUCACACCUUGUAACACAGGCAAGAACCCUUUCUUUGACUGAUCCAUUUUGAACUUCUUCAAAACUUUAUCAAGGUAUGUGCUUUGUGAAAGUCCUAUUAAGCAUCUUGAUCUAUCUCUAUAGAUCUUGAUGCCCGAUAUAUAAGCCGUUUCACCGGUCUUUCAUGAAAAACCUUUUAUUCAAGUACCCUUUUAUGCUAUCUAGAAAUUCUAUAUCAUUUCCAAUCAACAAUAUGUUAUCUACAUAUAAUAUUAGAAAUUCUAUAGAGCUCCCACUCACUUUCUUGUAAAUACAGGCUUCUCCAAAAGUCUAUAUAAAACCAUAUGCUUUGAUCACCUCAUCAAAGCAUAUAUUCCAACUCCGAGAUGUUUGCACCAGUCCAUCAAUGGAUCGCUGGAGCUUUCACACUUUGUUAGCACCUUUAGGAUCGACAAAACCUUCUGGUUGCAUCAUAUACAACUCUUCUUUAAGAAAUCCAUUAAGGAAUGCAGUUUUGACGUCCAUUUGCCAGAUUGAAGUCCUCCAAGUAGCAUCUCCAAGUAGCACCGCAUAGCAUAAUCCUACCCGGCGAUCCUCCCCUCGUCGCCCUGUGGAAAAGCGAUCACCGGGUUGUCUGUGGAACUUGGAAGGGUGUGUUUUAUUAAGUAUCCGAUUCUAGUUGUCAUAAGGUCAAGGUACAACUCCAAGUCGUCCUGUUACCGAAGAUCACGACAAUUCGAAUAGAUUAACUUCCCUGUAGGGGUGCACCACAUAACCCAACACGCUCGAUCCCAUUUGGCCGCACACACUUUCCUGGGUCAUGCCCGGCCUCGGAAGAUCAACACAUCGCAGCCCCACCUGGGCACAACAGAGAGGUCAGCACGCCGGUCUAAAUCCUAUGCACGCAUGGGUCUGGGCCCAUCGCCCAUUGCACACCUGCACGUUGCGAGGGCGGUCAGAAGCAGACCUAGCCUCCCUUAUACAAGAGUAGGCGUUCCAGUACAAUCCGGCGCGCGCCGCUCCGUCGCUGACGUCAAGAAGGCUUCGGCUGAUACCACGAUGUCGAGUGCCCAUAACUGUUCCCGCGUAGUUGGUUAGUGCAUAUAGGCCAGUAGCCAGACUCAGAUCAAAUACCAAGAUCUCGUUAAACGUCUUAAGUAUCCGCGAACGCCGACCAGGGCCAGGCCCACCUGUCUCCUAGGUGGUCUCAACCUGCCAUGUCGCUCCGCCACAAAGUAACAGUCGGGGGCCGUUGGGAACCCAGGCCCACCUCUACCGGGAUGGAGCCACCUGUCCUUCCAGCCCCCACAUCGGAACCACUUGCGGGUACUCAACAAGCUGACCCGACUUUAGUCACCAUCUGUAUAGGAUAUGUAUGUAUAGUAAAUACCCGUGAUCACCUCCCGAGUGAUCAUGACCCGAUAGUAUAGCAAGGCAGACUGACAAGAAUGUAGGGCCAAUGAUGAUAAACUAGAAUCCUAUACUAGGCAUUUAGGAUUGCGGGUAAGGUAUCAAUGACUGUAGCAACAAUGACAGGCUAUGCAACAGAAUAGGAGUAACCGAACAGUAACAUGCUACACUACUCUAAUGCAAGCAGUGUAGAGAAGAAUAGGCGAUAUCUGGUGAUCAAAGGAGGGGCUUGCCUGGUUGCUCUGGCAAGGAGGGGUCGUCAACUCCGUAGUCGAACUGGGGGUCGCCGGCAGUCUCGGGGUCUACUGGAAAAAAGUAACGGAGGGGGAACACAAUAAAUAACAGAGCAAUCAAAGCAUCACAAAGCAUAACAUGGCAAUACGCGGUGCUAGGUAUGCCCUAACGCGGUAGUAGGUGGUACCGGCGAAAGGGGGAAACAUCCGGGAAAGUAUCCCCGGUGUUUCGCGUUUCCGGACAGAUGAACCAGAGGUGAAAAGUUGCGAGUUCGAUAGGUUAGGGAGGUGUGCCGGAUGAACGGGCUGCGUAUCCAGAUUCGUCUCGUCGUUCUGAGCAACUUUCAUGUAGAAAGUAUUUUCAUCCGAGCUACGGUUUAUUUUAUACUUCCUCUGUAAACUAAUAUAAGAGUGUUUAGAUAACUACUUUAGUAUUCUAAACACUCUUAUAUUAGUUUAUGGAGGGAGUACUAAUUUAAAAAGAUUUAAUCAUUUCCUAGAUUUCCUGGAUUUAAUUUAAUUCGAAAUUAAAAACAGAAUAUACUUUCGUCACCUAGUGCUACCCUAGCAUGUGAGUAUGACAGUGGGGCCAGUGGGGUUGGGUUGACCCAGUCAAAGGUUGACUGGUCAACAUAUGAAUAGUGUAAGUGGGUCCCAUGUGUCAUUGUCUUUUGUUUAAUAAAAUGGUAAUUAACCAGGGUGGUCCCACAUGUCAUUUACACUAUACCUAACCACUACUUAGCAUAACUACUAAUUAGCUAACCUACCUAACCAGGAUCAGCCUCAUCCACACACAUACGCACACACACAACGCGCUCACACACACACACAACUACGCACACAUCACACACACACACUGGCGCACACGGCCAUGGCCGUGGCCAGCAGCAGCAGGCAACGGCGGGCAGCGGCGGCUCCUAGUGGCAGCAGCAGUACGAGAGCAGCAGGGGGCACCUAGCAGCAGCAGCAGUACGAAGAGCAGUAGCAAGAGGAGCGGCAAGAAUAGCAGCACGCAUCGGCAGUAUGCAGCAGCAAGGACGCAGCAGCGGCACAAGCAGUAGCAGGCAACAUCGACGAGCACGACAAAGGCGCGACCACGGGGAGGAGCAAGCGAGCGAGCAGGGGCGCGACCUCGCGCACGCGUAGGAGCGCAGCACGCGUACCCGGGCGUGGCCGGCGGCCGAGCGCAAACACUGGGCGGCCAGGACGCAGGGCUCGAGGGCGGUGAGCGUGACGCGGUCGUGGUGGCCGCGGCCAUCGGCCGGAAUUUGGGCAGCGCCACAGAGCGACGAACAGAGGGGGAAACGAGAGGAAUGGGGGUGGCGCUCACAGGGGAAGGCGGAGGACGCGUCCGACGGGGCAGAGGAGCUCCGGUGAGGUAGAUCGGGCGCGGGGCAGCGGCAGCCAUUGGCGAGGUAGAUGCGUCGAUCCCGACGAUGUAGUUGAUCCGGGCUCGCGUAGAAGGGCAGGGGCGGCGUGUGUUGACGCGGCGAAGCUCCCGAACAACCUCCCGUGGCACGGGGAGUCCUCGGGGCACGAGAACGUCGACAAGGUGGAGACGACUCCGUUAGGUGUGCACCAAAACGAUGGGGGCGACGAAGAGGAGAGGGCUAAGUGACCUAGGGUUCGUCCAACAAAGAAAGGAGGGGCUCGGGGUGUUCUUAUCCUCACGCGAAGUUACCGGAUGGACGACGUGUGGAGAUCGGAGGCGUGUGCGGGCACGCGUGCUCCAUGGUGACGAGGGUGAACAGGAGGUUGGGGAUGGCCGUAGGUGGGCUGGGCUAUGUGCUGUAGCGAUGGGCUACAGUGCACAGUGUAGCUUUAGGCCUUUUCUUCUUUUUCUUUUUUUUUUAUAAUUAUUUUUCUGUUUUGCUUUUCUUUACAGUUUUGUAUUUUUUUUGAUCUAAUAUAUGAGUAUAGUUAAAUGUGCCACUUAGCACAUAAAUACUAGGCAAGGUUUUGAAGCAGCACACAAUGUUCCAAAAUUAUUUUGAAUAGUUUAACUAUUUGUUUAAGUUGAAAUGGUUCAAAUAAAUACUGGUGAUUUAGUUUUAAGUAGGUUAGGGACAAUUUAAAUAAUCAAAAGAGGUUGGCUCCUACAUGAAAAAUAGUUAGGGGAUAUUUUUAACCCAUCAAACAUUUUUCCUUAUCGGUUUGAAGAAAUAAUAAUUUGACUUGUUUUUGGAAUUUGAAUUUGAAUCGGUUUCGAACUAACGCCGAGAUUAGCAACAGUAUCGAGGUGACGUGGCAUCAUUAGCGGGGGAUCACUGUAGCUUAAUUAUUCAGGCGCCACAAUUCUCCUCCACUACAAGAAAUCUCGUCCCGAGAUUUAAGAGGGGAGUAAGGGGGAAGAAUAGGUUACGAAAUUCUAACGAUUCUUCUCAAAGAAGUUAAUCCCUUUCGUUGAUGUCUUCAAUUCUUUAUUCCAAAGCAUCAUGAUGAAGUUGUCGUCCUUUCUUCGGGGAACUCCAUCAUACUUACGUAUAGGUAAGGGGUAGCUCUACAAUGAUAGGAUGUUAUAAGGGAAAUUCAUCUGGGGGUAUCCCAAGAAUGAACAUAUGAGUAUCUCUCGAGUUGAACAAAUGACACACAUCGAGAGCAAAGUAAGACGAUGCAAUAAGAAGUUUCAAGCGGAUAGGCAAUCGUUCAUUGCCUGAAGCAGAGUGCGAAAGGGGUUCAAAGCAACGGGAAUAAGUAUUGUCUCCGAUACCAGAAUAGAUCAACAGGCAAGUGGCCCGUGAAUUACAUACAAAGUCAAGCACGAGGAAUAACUUUGACAACAGGUUGUACAGGAGAGUCAGGAUUCGAUCAUGUGGAACUGUGGGUUAUGGGCCCACCAUGUGGGUUAAAAGUAGAAAGGGCGAUGAUGUCUUGCACGAUCAUGUAAGCAAGGCAUGUCAGAGAAUAACCUGUCAGUUAUGUCGGCAACAUCGGUACCAAGGGCGAGGGACGAAGAGAACCAAUUCCUGCUCGUUGAACAAGGCGGACCAAUAGGCAAAGUUCUUAUCCAUCGGUGGUUACCGGAAUGUCUUCAACAAUAGUAACAGGGUCUUACUGACAGAGUUGUACGUCGAGAUGUUUACAUAAGCAGGAGAAUAUCACUGCUUAGAUCAUAUAUACCACAAGCAACGUUAAACCAACCAAUGGAAGGAAAAUACGAUUAUCAUAUUAAACAGAACAAUGGAAAGGAAAAAUGUGUUUAAACACAUAUUUCAGGGGUAUAUCCUUCCCAAGGACAAGCAGAGUAUGAUAUCCAUGACAGGAUAUAAUGUAGAAAACUCUUUAGGUAGGGGAAGGAAUUUUCAUUACAUUACCCAUACAACGGUGUUUGGAUAAUUGAGCAAAAUACAUUUAGCAUUGGGCUUCAAAUGUUCCUGUUGAAAAUCGGAGUACCAUAGACAUGCUUUAGGAUAGCAUUGACAUGGUCUUCAAGCAAAAGGUCAGAUCUGGAUACACGAAGGAUUCAUCAGGAACAACUUAUAGAAUAUGUCUUACCAUUUCCUCAUGGAAGAAUAGAUAACCUUGCUAAAAGUAAGCUAUAACAAUAGGUCCUCCGGCCAGGUGUACUAGGCAUUACACCACCUUACCAGGUCAUAUAAUGACCAAUGUUAUAACUUUUGGAAAUAUGUCCCAACCAUCAUAUCUAACCGAGAUUCAGAUUUGAUCGGUGUCAAACUACCUCAGACUCAGGAUGCCUAAGAGGAAAAGGUGCAAUACAAAUUGAUGAGAUGACAUUGUAAGAUUCUCGGGAAAUGAACUAUGAAGUGAUUUCCGUUAACAAGAGUUCAUCAUUAACCCAAGGAGAGGACAAGGAGGUGUCUGGUGAACUCAACGGCAAAUCAUCGAGAUUUCCACAAUUAAGUGAACAAGGAGAUAACAUUUGUCAGAUCAAAUGAUAUAAGGAAGUAUGCUCGAGGAAAACAUACACAAUUAAACGUUGGUUGAAAGGUGCGCCCAAAAUAUGGGUUGGGUUGCACGGCCAAUGUCAGAAUGGUGAUUCAAUAAGCCAUAGUCGUAGAAUGAAACUAUAGACCAAUAACUUCAAAGCAAGAGGGUUGCUCGAAGUUUAGAAUUUACACAUCACAGACCAUUUGUCGGUAUUCCGAUUAGAAACAUCAGGGGACCAAGAAAAGAAUGGUGAUGUUAAUAAGUAUCACUGGUAUCAAGAAUUCUUAAGGGUGGUGAAUUUCUCACAACAUUGAGGACAUAAGAGAUGUUAAUGUUCCAAGGUAAAGAAUAACAAUUACUGGAUAGCAAGGAACUCAAGGUAUAACACCAAACACAAACAGGCUUGUGUUGGUGAGAAGGCAAUAAAGUGGUCGAUGAUAACGCAGAUCAUCGAGGGCAAGGAUGGUAUUUCUCAUCAUGAACUCAUUUGAUAUCCUGGAAGAGCUCAUAAGGUUGAUGAAGAUCACGACACACUUUGUCGAGAGAUUUCAAGAUGUAAUCGAUCGGCGAUGACAUCAAGUCAAAUGAAUGGUGAAGCGAAAGGUUAUUGGAACCAAGGGUACGACACAAACUCGAAAUCAAGUUUGAUGUUCAAGGUGAAAUGAUAUGACGAGGAAGAUCGAUGUAAGAUUAGCUCACCGUCGAAAUUUGUGCUCCGGGAAGGACCAAGUAGCAGAAUUAAAAUUAGCACGGUAAGGAUGUAGCCGAACAGGCUAGAAAUGACGCGAUCGGAUACAAACUCGUACUUAAAGAAGAUUAUCAAAAGUUGUUGAACCGUAGUGCAGACUCGGUUCAGUUAUCGGUGCCUUUGAGUGUUUAAUAACUCAGAGCCCAUGAAAACUGUAAUCAGUGAGAAUGUAGUACUUGAUGAAGAACUCAUAAGAAGUUAUGUAGUUCCAAGAUAAUCUCGAGAUACCAGGGGGGUAAUACUCGAAGAUGCAUCAAAGUAGAGGUUGGACUGGGGUAUUGAUCCGCAGAAGACAAAUGUUUAAACUUGCCCGAGAAAUGGGAACAAAGAAGAACAAUAUGGUCGACACCAUAACUACAAGGGGUCCAAUUUAAUGACACCGAAAGAAUUACUCGAAUGAGUAAAUAUUUGGCAAGAAGCUUCCAUGAUAAGUUCCACAUCGGGUCCAUGGGCAUGAACGCAGAGUUCAAGGUCGACUCCCACUUCUCCAAUGCAUACCCUUUCAUUCACUUCUCGCUUUCGAUGAAGUUGUAGUGUUGAAAUAUUAUCUGGCAAAACACCAGAAGAGUAUGACUCAUGAAAACUCUCGGGUGCAUACGGUUAGGGAAGGCAUAGGUUCAACCCAUAGGGGCAUCUUAGGAACAUAUACCACAAACAUCAGGAGUAAUUAUCACCAGCUCGAAAGUAGAGCAUGGUUGACAAAGCAGAGGAUACAAUUUACCAAAGGCAUUAUAUACCCGUGGAAAAGCUCACAAGGUUAUUGAAUAUGAAGGACGAUGUCGGAUGAAAUCCAACAAUGGAUCGGGCGAUCCACAACGGAGCUGAUGUGAGUAUCGGUAUUCCAGAAAGAAUGCACGGGCAUCAUAUUAUAGAACAUCGGAAUAAUUCGAUGCUUAGAUAACAAAGGAAUUAUGAUUUCCAAAACAAAUGAUCAGAAGAAGAUGCUCUGAUCAAGGAUGGAUAAGUUGGAUAGACCAGAGGCACAAUUGACGACAAAUAGUUUGGUCGAGAACCAGCUCAUGUUCGAAAUGACAUCUGAGCCGGAAAAAUAAUUUAGAAGGGUUGAUAGAUGAUUGUGUGCAUUCGCACACAUGUUGAAUCAAUAGGAUCAAAAUGACGGUGUCAAAAGAUACUAGUGAAUAUUGCUAGUGAUAUGGGAGCAUCCAUAAUGUAAGCAUUCAAGUAUUUGCAGAGCAAUAGUUUGAAGAGGAUGCUCAGAAGGUCGGAUAGUAUUUCAGAGUAUCUUAUGAAGCAUACGAACAACUGGGGAUGAACAGAUACUCAAUAAGUGCGAGGAAUUUUCAAUAGGGAUAUUCAUGUGGUAAGGAACUGCAAGGCAGUAAGCUUAAAGGAUUUUCGGAACAACGGAGAGCAAUUUAGGGCAUCUUGUAAUAACAAGAGCAACUGAGGAUGAAGGUAUGAACGACAAUUGUAGGUAGUUAUCCAUAAGGGUAUAUCGGUGGUAGGGGAUUGUAAAUUCAGUGGGCACAAGGGUCUCGGGAAAACCUCGGAGAGUAUCUUCGGAAUCUUCUGGUGCAGCAAGCGAUCAACUGGAGUGAGGGGCUCUCCAGGAGAAAGUAUUUUCGAGAACCUAAAGUUAGUCUUUUUAGCAAAUCAUUUAACCCGAAUAGAAGAGAGAUCAGAGUCCCAGAGUAUAGACAAGGAGUAAAAGAUCCUAAUACCACCCAAUGGCGACGUGGGCCCGUAAGCCACACAGCCAUGUUAGUAAAAGUUUUUCAAUGACUAGACUCGACUUCGGCCAAGGAGUGUGGAAGGGGGAUUCCUACAGGCAGUCGACUCUGAUACCAACUUGUGAUGCCCCCGAUUCAAUCGUACACUAAUCAUGCACGCAAAUGUGUACGAUCAAGAUCAGGGACUCACGAGAAAAUAUCACAACACAACUCUAAAAGUAAAAAUAAGUCAUACAAGCAUCAUAUUACAAGCGAGGGGCCUCGAGGGCUCGAAUACAAGUGCUCGAUCAUAGACGAGUCGGCGGAAGCAACAAUAUCUGAGUACAGACAUAAGUUAAACAAGUUGCCAUAAGAUGGCUAGCACAAACUGGGAUACAGAUCGAAAGAGGCGCAGGCCUCCUACCUGGGAUCCUCCUAACUACUCCUGGUCGUCGUCAGUGGGCUGCACGUAGUAGUAGGCACCUCCGGUGUAGUAGGAGUCGUCAUCGACAGUGGCGUCUGGCUCCUGGACUCCAGCAUCUAGUUGCGACAACCAGAAAGAAAGGAAAGGGGGAAAAAGGGGGGAGAAAGCAACCAUGAGUACUCAUCCAAAGUACUCGCAAGCAAGGAACUACACUACAUAUGCAUGGGUAUAUGUGUAAGGAGGCCAUAUUAGUGGACUGAACUGCAGAAUGCCAGAAUAAAAGGGGGAUAGCUAGUCCUAUCGAAGACUACGCUUCUGGCAGCCUCCAUCUUGCAGCAUGUAGAAGAGAGUAGAUUGAAGUCCUCCAAGUAGCAUCUCCAAGUAGCACCGCAUAGCAUAAUCCUACCCGGUGAUCCUCCCCUCGUCGCCCUGUGGAAAAGCGAUCACCGGGUUGUUUGUGGAACUUGGAAGGGUGUGUUUUAUUAAGUAUCCGGUUCUAAUUGUCAUAAGGUCAAGGUACAACUCCAAGUCAUCCUGUUACCGAAGAUCACGGCUAUUCGAAUAGAUUAACUUCCCUGCAGGGGUGCACCACAUAACCCAACACGCUCGAUCCCAUUUGGCCGCACACACUUUCCUGGGUCAUGCCCGGCCUUGGAAGAUCAACAUGUCGCAGCCCCACCUAGGCACAACAGAGAGGUCAGCACGCCGGUCUAAAUCCUAUGCACGCAGGGGUCUGGGCCCAUCGCCCAUUGCACACCUGCACGUUGCGAGGGCGGCCGGAAGUAGACCUAGCCUCCCUUAUACAAGAGUAGGCGUUCCAGUCCAAUCCGGCGCGCGCCGCUCCGUCGCUGACGUCAAGAAGGCUUCGGCUGAUACCACGACGUCGAGUGCCCAUAACUGUUCCCGCGUAGUUGGUUAGUGCGUAUAGGCCAGUAGCCAGACUCAGAUCAAAUACCAAGAUCUCGUUAAACGUGUCAAGUAUCCGUGAACGCCGACCAGGGCCAGGACCACCUGUCUCCUAGGUGGUCUCAACCUACCCUGUCGCUCCGCCACAAAGUAACAGUCGGGGGCCGUCGGGAACCCAGGCCCACCUCUACCGGGAUGGAGCCACCUGUCCUUCCAGCCCCCACAUCGGAACCACUUGCGGGUACUCAACAAGCUGACCCGACUUUAGUCACCAUCUGUAUAGGAUAUGUAUGUAUAGUAAAUACCCGUGAUCACCUCCCGAGUGAUCACGACCCGAUAGUAUAGCAAGGCAGACUGACAAGAAUGUAGGGCCAAUGAUGAUAAACUAGAAUCCUAUACUAGGCAUUUAGGAUUGCGGGUAAGGUAUCAAUGACUGUAGCAACAAUGACAGGCUAUGCAACUGAAUAGGAGUAACUGAACAGUAACAUGCUACACUACUCUAAUGCAAGCAUUAUAGAGAAGAAUAGGCGAUAUCUGGUGAUCAAAGGAGGGGCUUGCCUGGUUGCUCUGGCAAGGAGGGGUCGUCAACUCCGUAGUCGAACUGGGGGUCGCCGGCAGUCUCGGGGUCUACCGGAAAAAAGUAGCGGAGGGGGAACACAAUAAAUAACAGAGCAAUCAAAGCAUCACAAAGCAUAACAUGGCAAUACGCGGUGCUAGGUGUGCCCUAACGCGGCAGUAGGUGGUACCGGCGAAAGGGGGAAACAUCCGGGAAAGUAUCCCCGGUGUUUCGCCUUUCCGAACAGAUGAACCGGAGGUGGAAAGUUGCGAGUUCGAUAGGUUAGGGAGGUGUGGCGGAUGAACGGGCUGCGUAUCCAGAUUUGUCUCGUCGUUCUGAGCAACUUUCAUGUAGAAAGUAUUUUCAUCCGAGCUAUGGUUUAUUUUAUAUUAAUUUUAAAAGUUUAAUCAUUUCCUAGAUUUCCUGGAUUUAAUUUAAUUCGAAAUUAAAAAUAGAAUAUACUUUUGUCACCUAGUGCUACCCUAGCAUGUGAGUAUGACAGUGGGGCCAGUGGGGUUGGGUUGACCCAGUCAAAGGUUGACUGGUCAACAUAUGGAUACUGUAAGUGGGUCCCGUGUGUCAUUGUCUUUUGUUUAAUAAAAUGGUAAUUAACCAAGGUGGUCCUGUUGGAAUUGAUCUCAGGUUGUAAUAUACCGAGAUAAAAAGAAGGGGAGUCCAAUCCCACGUUGGUGCUUUGAUCGGGGGCACCCAAACCCAAUGUUUUGGUUUCGGUCCCCGAUCCAUCAGUUCCCAUAUAAAAGGAAGAGGUCACGUACCUGUUCAGAUAAGAAAAGAAAAACACAAACGGGUUAAACUCCUGAGUGCUAACAACCGAUCCUAAAAAGAGGGAGCUGAUGUGCUGGAAGGCCGACUACCACCGCCGGCCACCGCAAGGUCAGUGCCGGUGGCCCCUACAGCGGCGUUCCUGAUGCACGUCCACACCAUCUAUGUGCUGCUUUUCUCCCGGCCAUAUCUUCAUCGCCGGAGACCCCAAGGUGCAGCCAUGGGCUACACAAGGGGCUGCAUCGAGCAGCCAUGGGAUUUCGCCAAUCAGUGUAAGUUUGUACGCUUCCACAUAAUACUGAUGUUCUAGUCCGAGAUUAAGUCCUAAAGUUGAUUAGCCUAAAGCCAAUUAAUCUAACAAUGGUAUCAUGAGCUGGUUAAUCUCGGUUAGAACUCCAAUCAUGUUUUUAGUGAUGUUUCUUUUCUGUUAACGAUCAUGUUUAAGUCCUGAUUUUCUCCGUUCCAAAUAUAAUCACCAACUUAAGGUUUAAUUAAACUUUAUUAGGUUAGUGAGCCUUGUUUAUGGCUAAUUAUUUUCAGUCAAUGUAUUACUGAUGCGGGUUAGUGCUAAUUACCCGUUUAAGCAAUCAGAAGGAGGGGAAUUGCAAAUUCUAGAAAAUCCCCAAUUUUUGAAACCCUAGAACUUGGAAUUCCCCAAAUCAGCGCCCAAAAAUGUUUUAAUCGACAAAAAGAAGAGUAUUUGAGGCACACCUCAUGACGCCGCGCCUAUGCUCCUUCGGGAUCCCUGAGCCGUCGACGCCGCCGUCUCUCGGGAUGACGUGCAGAAAGACUCAGCCGCCGCUGAGGUGCUAAUGGACGCGCGCGUGCAGUGGGUUCCGCACCCCGUACGUCGCCGUCGCUGUCGCCGCCAAAAGUUUGCGCCGGCAGCCGCUGGCGAGAUGCCUCACGCGUAGCUAGGACUACCGUCCUCCCGGUCUCGCCAUGAGCUCAACACGGCGACCGCCGUUCGGCGGAGGAGCGCGCGGCCUUGAGCGAGGCACGCUGCUCCGACGAACGGGACUGCCGCACCGCCAUGGCCGGCGUGCCUCGGGUCACCGCCGCGGUUGUCGCCUCUCCUGCACGAGCCGUGAAAAUCGGGGGAGAGGAAAGGAAAUGCUUCUAGGGUUUGACCAGGUGUUGUUUUGCUCCGCCCCGGGAGGAUCGGGGCCGUCGGCUUGAUCCAACGGCUGAGGCCGACGCGCAGCUCCGAAUGGGCUUUGGGCACUUAAAAGGCCGCUUUUGAAGCUGGGUUGCGGCCCAGCAUGUCUUAUCCUGGCAGGAAACGUUCUUGUCUUUGAGCUGGGCCGAAUGAAUCAAGGGUAGCCGUGGGCUGUAUUGGGCCAACAAAUAUAUGUUCUGCGCGUAUUUUCUUUUAUUCAGUGCAAUUCUAUCAUUAAGAUUAUUCUAAGAAAGUCUUUUGCACUGUUAUAGAUAGAAAAUUGUCAGAAAAAUUAAGUUCUAAAUUGUGUUUUAGUUUUCUUAGUAUAAUGGAACCAACGAGAAGUUUUGCUUAGAAAAUUAAAGCACAAUUAAUGUUUAUGUAAUUUUCAUGGCAAGCCUUUAAUGAUGAUGAAGAUUUAUUAAUAAAAAUCCAUGGAUGAUUAUAGGUCAAAUUAUGUUCUUUAGGCAUUUUGUGCAGUUUUAGUGCAUUCAUUAAGUUUCAAAUUAUGCUUUUGCACUGAUGAGUUUUAAAGUGCCUGUAAUUAUGCUUAAAUCUUCUAAAAAAAAUGGAGCCAACGGGAAUUUUUUUGGGGUGAAUGUUGAUGUCAUUUAAAGGCACCUUUUAUGGUCAUCACUUUUCAAGUAUUAUUUCAAUGAAGAAAUCUUAAUGUUAAAAUAUUGAGCAUUUUUCCAGUCACUCAUUUAAGUUUCUAAACAUUAAUAUUUUAUUUGGAAACUUUAUUUGAGUGUGAUGUUUGUGGUGAUGCCAUCCUAAUGACAUUUCUUAAUGAUGUGAUCAUUUCGAAUGGGAUGAGGCCACCUCAAGGGGAAUGUUAUGGUCACAUGGUUCAGUUUUCCGCGUCAUAAGAAUAUUGCGUCGAUACGCCUAUUGGGCAAAACUGAAGUUUUUAUUUGGUGCAUUUCAUGUCAUUUUAUUAUGAUAUGCAUUAUUGAAAUAUGCAUAAAGACUCAAAAAUAAUGUUCAUGGGGUUAUGAUCAAUCCCCUAAAGAAAGGAAUUUUGUUUAGGGGAUUUGUUUCCAAAGUACCUGUUGCUGCCAAAUAUUGUUAUUUCGUGAAUCCUUAUGAAAAUUUAUGUCCAUAUUACCUGGAAAAUGUUAUGAUAUCUUGACGAUAAUAUUAAUGUCUUUUUGGACUGACUGUAACUUUGAAGUCUACUCUCUCGCAAUAACAUUUAUAUUUAUAUGUUAAUUCCAAUGUCACCUUCAUUGUAUGUCGUUUAGAAUUUUAAUGAUAAUUUUGACACUUAUUUUUUUAAUGUUAUUUUCAAUGUUCAUUAAGUGUCAAAAUUUUAAGUUCAAGAUAACUACAACAGGUUAUGAAUCCUUGUGUGCUAUGACAUAAUGGAUUACACUUUAAUGCUACUUUAUGUUAAUGAUGGUUAGUAAUUUAGUUAAUAUUCUUGCUGGUCUUUAUGUGAUUUUAUGUUUUUCUAAUCAAAAUGGAACCAACGAGAAGUUUUGAUUAGAGAUUUAGUGAGCCAAAUUCAUAAUGGCGAUUGAUGAUAUUCUGACCAACGUUGAUUAUUUUUAUGUGUCAUUUAUGAAUGAAUAAGUUUUUUUUCGUUAUUUGCCCAAUGAUAAUGCAGAUUAGAAUAAAUUAAUCAUUUUUUAUUCAUCUCAUUGCAUGGUUAAUUCAUGCUUGAUGUUUUGUUGUAAUGUUCAUAAUGAUGUCUUCUGUUUUCAUAGCAAUGAACAUUAAUAAUGAUGCCAACUUCCAUUUUGGCAUAGACAACCCUUAUGUAAAUAACUUUUCUGUGUGGAGAGUGGAGAUCAUUUUCUCAUGUAAGGAAUCUCACAAUGUUUCUCUGCCACUAAGGUUUACAGAUUUAAUCAUGAUGUUAAAGCGGACAUUGGGAGAGGUCUCAAAAUGCAUGUGCUAUCAUGCACAUUACUAAUGCAAUGGGGUUUAAAGUGAAAACUAUUGGAUUUAUUCCACUAGGAUUUGGAGAUACUUAAUUCUUCAUCUAAUUGAUGAUGUUUGUUCUUGCUCCCAGUUACUGGAGAAACUUAUUUCUUGUUUCUCGAACAUAUGACAUGAUUUUCUGUGUUAUCAAGUUAACUCCAAUUAUGUAACGUUAGUUUCGCCCUAGGGUGAGACAAGUUAUGUUUUUCAUCUGAAUGGAUCAUUUGUAAAGAUUAUGUGUUAUGUUACAAUUAAAGAUGUAAGAGAAGUGUAAAUAAUGAGACCUCAUCGAAAUUGUGGUUUUAGACCACAUUUCGAGGGGGAGAAUGGAAGUCUCGUUUAAUAUGAGAUAUCACGUUCACUUCUCUUACUUAGAUCAAAAUAUGUAUGUUAAUUAUCCAAUUAAAGAUAGAACCAACGAGAAGUCUUGGUUGGAGAAUGUAUGAAAAUCAUAUACUAAUGUCAAUUAUCUAAUUAAGAUGCAACAAGUCUUAUUUAGAAGAAUGGAUAAAAAUUACUCAUUUUAUUACGUUAAUGUGUACUUAAUCCCUUAUGAGCAUUAUGAAGCACACAUGAAUGCUAAAGUGAAGCUUGCUAGUCUAAUGACCAUCAUGAUGUAACAUGCUGAUUAUAUAUAUGACCAACGUCAUUUAUAAUCAUAUGUCGCACUUCACUCAAAUGGCAAGCUUGUUAGUAUCACGUGGCUCGUGGUUAUAUUUUUGACUAUCGUCAUUUAUAAUCAUUUGUCACAAUUCAUUAGGUUCUUUUCCAUCUUCAGCCCAACGGUGUUGUGGUUUAGAACUUAAAUGAUUAUUAUCAAGAUAUUGGAUAUGUUUUCCAUUUUUUCAAAUAAAGUGAUCAUGGGGGAACUGGAGCGUAUGAACAUGAAUCUUAAGGAUAACUCCAGUAGAUCUUUGUUCAUACGCAUCAGGUAAGUUGAGAAGAAAUGCAUAUUGCAAUACUCAAUGUUGAGACUUAACAAUUUCCGUGUGAUUCAUAAUGUGUGUGAAUGAUCAUCUUAGAGGCUUGUGUGAUAAUGAGCUCUAAUGAUGUAUGGAACUCAAUAGAGUUUCCUCGGUGAGUUGUUUUGACGCUUGUGUUAUUAUUAUAACAUACUCUUGUGUUUACUAAGUUAAGAAUGUAUGUAUGACUUAACCGUAAGGUUUCGUCAAAUAGGUGAAGUUAACACAAGGUAUGUUGCCCCAAGAAAUUCAAUUAUGAAAUAAGAAAGCGUCGGGACACUCAUACCAUAAAACCAGGGGGAGUAAGUAUACUACCUUGAGAAGAUGGAAUAUUUUUGGCAGGACCAAGAAUUUUCUACCUUCCAUUUAUGACAUAAAGAAUCUUGGUCAUGCCCUAUACUUUGUUUGUGUCGAGUUUCGCCAAGAUUCCAAAAGUGGUAUAAGUUUUAUCAUGAAGACAUGCAUCGAUAGAGUACGAAAGAAAAUAUUAUGUGGUAGUACUCUUAUCGCACCUGCUACUAAAGUCAAGGGCAAUAAGAGAUGGACAUUUUAGUGUCCAAGGAACCAUUAUGAACUGAUCAGAUAAUGUCGGUUCCUUAUGCUUCAGUUGUCGGAAGCAAUAUGUGUAUUCAAGUAUGAACAUGCCCUUGUUUUGUGAUCGGGAUAAUUGGCAAAUAUACAAGUAAGUCCAGAAAUGGACCACUGGAAAAGCCGAGAAAUGUCUUGCAGAUAUGCAAGAGAAUAAAGUUUACAUGCUCACUAAUAAGAAGUCUAAUAACUUCGAUAUCCUGGGAUAUUCGGACAUUGCUUCUGCGAGAUGUGUGGAUCUUAAAGUUUCCAUGCUAUGUUACAUCCUCACUCUCGCACAUGGAGCUAUAUCGUGGAAAAGCUCUAUAAUGACACUGAUGGCAUUAGAAAUAAUGCACUUACUUAUGUGGCAUGCCAAGAGGCUAUUGGGCAGGUUGUAUGUCAAGAAGUUUUAUUCCCGAGUUAAGAGUGAUAGACAACAUCUCUAAGACACUUACUGCGAUUAUGAGCGCGCAGUUCUCUAUGUGAGUAACAACAAGUCAAUUGUUAUUGCCAAAACCAUUGACAUAAUGUCUCUGUUGUGAAACAUAGAGUCCAGGAUCAAACCUAUGGUUUUUGAUUUAUAAAGUUUUGCGGUACCGCUUACUAAAGGCUUACCACCCAUUUUAUGAUGAUAUCUUGCCGGCAUGGGUUCAUAAAGCCUUUUGAUCCUGGAAAUUAGGACCAUCAUAUAAACCAACUCCCAUAAAGUAUUAUGUUUCCAUCUCAAGAUAGAAUGAUGUACUAUAGGUACUGAGGUUCACUGAUAUCUCAUUAUCUCAUUGGUCAUUGUAACACAUUACUUUGGUAUGUUAUUUCUAUUAAGAGUGGGCUUAUGAUGUUUGUUAACCUUACGAUCAAGGGGAGAAUGUUGGAAUUGAUCUCAGGUUGUAAUAGACCGAGAUAAAAAGAAGGGGAGUCCAAUCCCACGUUGGUGCUUUGAUCGGGGGCACCCAAACCCAAUGUUUUGGUUUCGGUCCCCGGUCCAUCAGUUCCCAUAUAAAAGGAAGAGGUCACGUACCUGUUCAGAUAAGAAAAGAAAAACACAAACGGGUUAAACUCCUGAGUGCUAACAACCGAUCCUAAAAAGAGGGAGCUGAUGUGCUGGAAGGCCGACUACCACCGCCGGCCACCGCAAGGUCAGUGCCGGUGGCCCCUACAGCGGCGUUCCUGAUGCACGUCCACACCAUCUACGUGCUGCUUUUCUCCCGGCCAUAUCUUCAUCGCCGGAGACCCCAAGGUGCAGCCAUGGGCUACACAAGGGGCUGCAUCGAGCAGCCAUGGGAUUUCGCCAAUCAAUGUAAGUUUGUACGCUUCCGCAUAAUACUGAUGUUCUAGUCCGAGAUUAAGUCCUAAAGUUGAUUAGCCUAAAGCCAAUUAAUCUAACAAUUUACACUAUACCUAACCACUACUUAGCAUAACUACUAAUUAGCUAACCUACCUAACCAUGAUCAGCCUCAUCCACACACAUACGCAUACACACAACGCGCUCACACACACACAACUACGCACACAUCACGCACACACACUGGCGCACACGGCCAUGGUCGUGGCCAGCAGCAGCAGGCAACGGCGGGCAGCGGCGGCUCCUAGUGGCAGCAGCAGUACGAGAGCAGCAGGGGGCACCUAGCGGCAGCAGUAGUACGAAGAGCACUAGCAAGAGCAGCGGCAAGAAUAGCAGCACGCAUCGGGAGUACGCAGCAGCAAGGACACAGCAGCGGCACAAGCAGUAGCAGGAAACAUCGACGAGCACGAUGAAGGCGCGACCACAGGGAGGAGCAAGCGAGCGAGCAGGGGCGCGACCUCGCACGCGCGUAGGAGCGCAGCACGCGUACCCGGGCGUGGCCGACGGCCGAGCGCACACACUGGGCGGCCAGGACGCAGGGCUCGAGGGCGGUGAGCGUGACGCGGUCGUGGUGGCCGCGGCCAUCGGUCGGAAUUUGGGCAGCGCCACAGAGCGAUGAACAGAGGGGGAAACGAGGGGAAUGGGGGUGGCGCUCAGAGGGGAAGGCGGAGGACGCGUCUGGCGGGGCAGAGGAGCUCCGGUGAGGUAGAUCGGGCGCGGGGCAGCGGCGGCCAUUGGCGAGGUAGAUGUGUCGAUCCCGAUGAUGUAGUUGAUCCGGGCUCGCGUAGAAGGGCAGGGCGGCGUGUGUUGACGCGGCGAAGCUCCUGAACAACCUCCCGUGGCACGGGGAGGCCUCGGGGCACGAGAACAUCGACAAGGCGGAGACGACUCCGUUAGGUGUGCACCGAAACGAUGGGGGCGACGAAGAGGAGAGGGCUAAGUGACCUAGGGUUCGUCCAACAAAGAGAGGAGGGGCUCGGAGUGUUCUUAUCCUCGCGCGAAGUUACCAGAUGGACGACGUGUGGAGAUCGGAGGCGUGUGCGGGCACGCGUGCUCCACGGUGACGAGGGUGAACAGGAGGUUGGGGAUGGCCGUAGGUGGGCUGGGCUAUGUGCUGUAGCGAUGGGCUACAGUGCACAGUGUAGCUUUAG